rnacentral:rRNA from 1 species
AGUGAACGCUGGCGGCAGGCCUAACACAUGCAAGUCGAACGGCAGCACAGAGGAGCUUGCUCCUUGGGUGGCGAGUGGCGGACGGGUGAGGAAUACAUCGGAAUCUGCCUUAUCGUGGGGGAUAACGUAGGGAAACUUACGCUAAUACCGCAUACGACCUACGGGUGAAAGCGGGGGAUCGCAAGACCUCGCGCGAUAAGAUGAGCCGAUGUCGGAUUAGCUAGUUGGCGGGGUAAAGGCCCACCAAGGCGACGAGCCGUAGCUGGUCUGAGAGGAUGGUCAGCCACACUGGAACUGAGACACGGUCCAGACUCCUACGGGAGGCAGCAGUGGGGAAUAUUGGACAAUGGGCGCAAGCCUGAUCCAGCCAUGCCGCGUGGGUGAAGAAGGCCUUCGGGUUGUAAAGCCCUUUUGUCCGGAAAGAAAAGCACUGGAUUAAUACUUCGGUGUUCUGACGGUACCGGAAGAAUAAGCACCGGCUAACUUCGUGCCAGCAGCCGCCGUAA